CCAAAAUUAGCAUCGUAAAUGGAUAGGUACCCCCAUUUUGGUAAUCUUAGAUAUUCCAGAAAGAUUUGUUGGCCCAUUAAAACUCAUGUUAAACAACUGAGAGCUUGCCACUGUAGUAUUCGUUCUCUAAUGAAGUGAAUUCUGUUGGUGCUGCGUAUGUUUCUUUGUGCUGUUCAAUUUUGUGGCAUUUGCUAAUAUUCAACGUUGCUGCCAAAAAAAAAAUAUAUAUAUAUCUCAAAAAACUAAAACCGAAACAGAAAAUUAAAAAAAAUACUGCUUUGUGGAAUGAAUCUGUGUUGCUUCCUACAGUGUUUCUAUGUUCGUCUGUCAUUCAUUCUCAUUCUUGCAGUACUUCAUUCCCUUCCUCUCUGUUGGACAACCUUUCCACGGACAUAGUGCAGCAUUUGGGACCUUUUCAGAAAAAGAGACACCAAAAUGGAAUGUUUUCCAUAGCAAAAGAAAACAUGGUGGCAUCUGAAGUUAACAUGCAGAACCUGUGAGACAACUCUCCAGAGGACGACCCCAAGUGAGGUUCUAUCAUUAAUCAACUUCAAGCAAACACAGCAAAGAGACACCAUGAUACAUGCUUUAAACUCCAAAUUAAUGCAUAUUUUUACAAACUGUCAAUAAGGGAAGAAAAGCCCUGCCAGGAAACACAAACGGAGAGGAAAAGGCUCGCUCAACACAACAAUAUGAUAAGAAAGCAGAGUCCUAACGAGAAUAAUAACACUGUCAGCUGUAAACAAGGCAGAACAUGAUCCCCGGCUCAUGGUGGGCACAAGGAUGCACUAAAGAGAUGAGAUCUGCCAAAUUUCUCAUUAUAGAAUAGCACAUGAAUAACCCGCAGGGGAAUGUGGGCUGGUCAUUCAAAACGGGUAUGAUAACAAUUGAAAAAUGUUGUUCGUAAAUCAUAUUUACAACAAAUCCUUUACAAAUACAAAUUACCUUUUUUUGUUCAGGAGCUUUUGAUAUGUAAAACAGCCAUGUGAGUCAAUACUGUCUUGUUGGCGGGACGGUAUAGGGAAGUAGGAUUUUAUUGACAUUAUCAAGUAUUAAUAAUGCGACGCGGCGAUGGAGACCCUGUUUGCUUCCUAAAUAAUUGAUGUGGCAGGCAAUCCCUUAAAAUAAAGUGUUAAUGAGUUCAAGUCC